rnacentral:tRNA from 1 species
GUCCCGUUCGUCUAGCUUGGUCCAGGACACCGGCUUUUCACGCCGGCGACACGGGUUCAAAUCCCGUACGGGAUA